rnacentral:snoRNA from 1 species
CAUAGUGAUGAAUCAUAUCGUGUGAACAAUCUCUGACUGUAAUCCUAGCAAUAGGAUUUAAAGAUUAGAACAACUUAUGUUGCCUUCCUUCUGAUA